rnacentral:rRNA from 1 species
UACGGAGGGUGCAAGCGUUGUCCGGAUUUAUUGGGUUUAAAGGGUGCGUAGGCGGUCUUUUAAGUCAGUGGUGAAAUCCUCCAGCUUAACUGGAGAACUGCCAUUGAUACUGAAAGACUUGAGUACAGACGAGGUAGGCGGAAUUGACAGUGUAGCGGUGAAAUGCAUAGAUAUUGUCAAGAACACCGAUUGCGAAGGCAGCAUACUAGACUGUAACUGACGCUGAGGCACGAAAGUGCGGGGAUCAAACAGG